GGAGACUGCAUAGGGUGUGACUAUCAGGAACCAUGGCUCACUGGAGCACCAUCUUUGGAGUCUAGCUAACACAGCAUCUUGGAUGCACUCCUAAGAGAAGACUACCUGAAAGGCGUGUACACUGGUCUAGCAGUUGAGAUCAGCUAGUGUUCCAUCUAUCUUCUGUCAUGUAUCUCUUCUAAGAUGUCUUGAUCGACUGACCCCAAAGCCAGAGGGUACCAGGUCAAAAAGCAAGAAAACAAACAAUACUGACAUUAGAGAGAAGCAAAGUUUCUAUAGAAAACCUAUUACACUGUGGUAUAAAUCAAGAUGAACCUGCAGACAUCUAUUUUAGUUUGGAAGUCUGGAAAAGUUCAAGAUUGGCCAUCUGCAGCUGGUGAGAGCCUCAGGCUGCUUCCCCUCAUGGUGGAAGGUGAAGGGGAGCUGGUGUGUGCAGAGAUUACAUGCAAAGGUGCUGCUGGUUACUCUUGGUUCAUCUAGCAAUAGAUGAUCUGAAUGUUAGAGUUCGCCAAAUAUUGUUCCUGGGCAGUCUUUGCUCUACCAAAUCAACUUUCUCCAUGGGGGAGCUAGAAGUCACCCCACAUUCUCCGCCAUGGCCAGCUCUACAUUCUAAGAGAUGACAAAGACACAAGGAGCCAAGACAGAUCAUUCAAGCAUAUUCAUUGCCUCUAUCUUCAUCCCAUUAAAUAACAUCCCGCCAACCAAAGCAAGUUAUCUGCAUAAGAAUAAAUAUUCCACCUACUCUACUGCAAGGCCCUGCAAGAGUCAUGAGACAAAAGAUAUAUAAUUGAGCACUCUGAUGCCAAGGAUGGCAAAUGCAUUUGUUUCCCUCUAUUCAUUAUUAGAAGAGAGGAGAUUACAUACCAGACAUAUACCAAUAGGUUUUCUCUUCAUAAUACCUACGUCAUCUAGUAGCAUAACAUAAGGCAGAAUCCUUCAAAGGUUGACUCCUAGAGAUGGAAGAGCUGUAAGCAGAGACAGAAAAAUUUUUCUGUACUCAUGCUGUGGAGCUGUACUCUGGAGCAGCAAGUGACAAGUGAAGACAACCUCCCUCCCUGCCUUUUCUGGUCUGAGUAACAUUGUCAUUAAAAUUGUCAAAUAAAUUAAGAUACCAAGACAAAAAAA
ensembl:lncRNA LINC02465 long intergenic non-protein coding RNA 2465